UACGUAGGGUGCAGGCGUUAAUCGGAAUUACUGGGCGUAAAGCGUGCGCAGGCGGUCUUUUUAAGUCAGAUGUGAAAUCCCCGGGCUUAACCUGGGAACUGCGUUUGAAACUGGAAGGCUUGAGUGUGGCAGAGGGGGGUGGAAUUCCACGUGUAGCAGUGAAAUGCGUAGAUAUGUGGAGGAACACCGAUGGCGAAGGCAGCCCCCUGGGCUAACACUGACGCUCA
rnacentral:rRNA from 1 species